rnacentral:misc_RNA from 1 species
UAUAUGGUUUAUAGGCACUGAGGCCCAAAUGAUACAUUCUGUUACAUACUACGGGUAUAUGAAAAACAUAGGCUUGGAAGUGCAAAGAAAGCUGACGCAAAGCGACAGCAUUCCUCUUCCAGGUCUACAAGAGGUGCACAGGUGGAGAGAUGGAGAUGGCGGGUGUGCACAUGCCCCCGAGAGGGCCAGCAACAACCACGCCAAGUUCAUUCAAUAAUGAUCCUUCCGCAGGUUCACCUACGGAAA